rnacentral:snRNA from 1 species
GUGCUUGCUUCAGCAGCACAUAUACUAAAACUGGAACGAUACAGAGAUUAGCAUGGCCCCUGUGCAAGAAUGAUAUGCAAAUCCAUGAAGCAUUCCAUAUUUUU